rnacentral:rRNA from 1 species
GACGAACGCUGGCGGCGUGCUUAACACAUGCAAGUCGAACGGAAAGGCCCUGCUUUUGUGGGGUGCUCGAGUGGCGAACGGGUGAGUAACACGUGAGUAACCUGCCCUUGACUUUGGGAUAACUUCAGGAAACUGGGGCUAAUACCGGAUAGGAGCUCCUGCUGCAUGGUGGGGGUUGGAAAGUUUCGGCGGUUGGGGAUGGACUCGCGGCUUAUCAGCUUGUUGGUGGGGUAGUGGCUUACCAAGGCUUUGACGGGUAGCCGGCCUGAGAGGGUGACCGGCCACAUUGGGACUGAGAUACGGCCCAGACUCCCACGGGAGGCAGCAGUGGGGAAUAUUGCACAAUGGGCGGAAGCCUGAUGCAGCAACGCCGCGUGCGGGAUGACGGCCUUCGGGCUGUAAACCGCUUUCGCCUGUGACGAAGCGUGAGUGACGGUAAUGGGUAAAGAAGCACCGGCUAACUACGUG